rnacentral:lncRNA from 1 species
AGAUAUACACCCUAUUUUGCGGUAUAUUAUAGCACUGCUCGUUUUUUUUAGAAAAAAAACUAUUUAUACACUUUAAAAGGAGUGUAUAUUUUAUAUUUCACCCAUUCAAUGAAUGAAAUGUCACUUACUAAUCAUAUAAAGUGACUAGUAAAAAUAUCUCACCUAUUAAAUUGAUAAAAUGUAUAUUAUAUACUCAUUUUUU